AUCAACGCUGGCGGCGUGCCUCAGACAUGCAAGUCGAACGAUUAAAGCUCCCUUCGGGGAGUGCAUAAAGUGGCGCACGGGUGAGUAACACGUAAGUAAUCUACCUUCGAGUGGGGAAUAACAGUCGGAAACGACUGCUAAUACCGCAUAAUGCAGCGGCACCUAAUGGUGACAGUUGUUAAAGGAGCAAUUCGCUUGAAGAGGAGCUUGCGGCAGAUUAGCUAGUUGGUAAGGUAAUGGCUUACCAAGGCUACGAUCUGUAACCGGUCUAAGAGGACGGUCGGUCACACUGACACUGAACAACGGGUCAGACUCCUACGGGAGGCAGCAGUCGGGAAUUUUGGGCAAUGGGCGAAAGCCUGACCCAGCAACGCCGCGUGAAGGAUGAAGUAUUUCGGUAUGUAGACUUCGAAAGAAUGGGAGGAAUAAAUGACGGUACCAUUUAUAAGGUCCGGCUAACUACGUGCCAGCAGCCGCGGUAAUACGUAGGGACCAAGCGUUGUUCGGAUUUACUGGGCGUAAAGGGCGCGUAGGCGGCCUAACAAGUCACUUGUGAAAUCUCCGGGCUUAACUCGGAACUGCCAAGUGAAACUGUCAGGCUAGAGUGCAGAAGGGGCAAUCGGAAUUCUUGGUGUAGCGGUGAUGAAAUGCGUAGAUAUCAAGAGGAACACCUGAGGUGAAGACGGGUUGCUGGGCUGACACUGACGCUGAGGCGCGAAAGCCAGGGGAGCAAACGGGAUUAGAUACCCCGGUAGUCCUGGCCCUAAACGAUGAAUACUUGGUGUCUGGAGUUUAUAGUGCUCCGGGUGCCGUCGCUAACGUUUUUAGUAUUCCGCCUGGGGAGUACGCUCGCAAGAGUGAAUCUCAAAGGGAUUGACGGGGGCCCGCACAAACGGUGGAGCAUGUGGUUUAAUUCGACGCAACGCGAAGAACCUUACCCAGGCUUGAACUGCAGAUGACAUCCUACGAAAGUAGGCUUCCGCAAGGACAUCUGUAGAGGUGCUGCAUGGCUGUCGUCAGCUCGUGUCGUGAGAUGUUGGGUUAAGUCCCGCAACGAGCGCAACCCUUGUCUUCUGUUGCCAUCGGGUUAUGCCGGGCACUCUGAAGAGACUGCCGGUGACAAACCGGAGGAAGGUGGGGAUGACGUCAAGUCAGCAUGGCCUUUAUGUCUGGGGCCACACACGUGCUACAAUGGCAGGUACAAACCGUCGCGAGACCGCAAGGUGGAGCUAAUCGGAUAAAGCCUGUCUCAGUUCGGAUUGUCGGCUGCAACUCGCCGGCAUGAAGUUGGAAUCGCUUAGUAAUCGCGGAUCAGCACGCCGCGGUGAAUACGUUCCCGGGCCUUGUACACACCGCCCGUCACAUCACGAAGCUGGCUGUACUAGAAGUAGCUGAGCUAACCCGCAAGGGAGGCAGGUUCCUAAGGUAUGGUCAGUGAUUGGGGUG
rnacentral:rRNA from 1 species